rnacentral:tRNA from 1 species
CAGGACAUGACUUAUUAGUAAGUUAUAUCAUUUACACUGAUUUUUAUUCUGUGCAAUUCAGGAUGUCUU